UUUUAAGCAACGUAUAUGGAGGAUUCCUAAACGAACUUGAUAUUUUAUCAACUCAGUUCCCAAGUUUUGCAAUGUGAUACUCAACAUUAUUUUUUUCUCAUAAAGAAGGGUAACACAUGCUGGACGAGGUAAAUCAAUAGUAUAUUGCAACCAAUCAUUUUCAGUAAUUUGUAAACAUUACAGGUUGCUAAUUGAGCUGCUUGCUAACUUUAUUGAUCCUUGUCGUAUUCAUGUAGUUCAUCCCUUGAUCAGAAUUAAGCAUCACGUAGUAUUUCUUAGAAGUUGAAUUGCAGUUUACUUAGGCAUAAAUGUAAUUUUAUUCGUACUAAAGUUGGUACUUAACCUUUAUUAGACUCUUGUUGCAUGGGACUUGACUGAUGCUUUGCUAGCUAAAAUCAUCUGGUGGUUUUUAGUCUGAAAUAUUGAUUUUCCAUGAACUGCUGUUUUCCUGAGGCAGUACUUAUUCUGAAGAUCUAUCUCAUUUUAUAUAGAUGUUUAAAUUUGAUCUAACUAUCAAUUUCAAUUUGACAUUCUUCUCGGUAUAGGCGUACUAUCCUGAGCGCCUGGCCAAAUGCUACCUGUUAAAUAUGCCCCGGUUUUUUGUGAGUAUUUGGAGAUUUAUUUCCCGCUUCCUUGAGAAGGCUACUUUCGAAAAGAUUGUAAUUGUAACCAAUGAAGAGGAAAGAAGAGAAUUUAUUAGAAAUGUUGGUGAAGAAGUCUUGCCGGAAGAGUACGGAGGACAGGCGAAACUCAUUGCACUGCAGGAUUUUGUAAUAACAUCAUUGGAUGACUAAAUUCUAUGAAUCUGUGGAGUUGAUAUAAUGAACUCAAAUCACAGGUACUGAUAUAUAAAUUUAAUUGUAAAACUCUCUGUAAAGGGGGAAAUGAAAAGAAGAUAUGGAAGAAGAACUUCAUAGGAUGUAUUAGUUACACUUAUUCUUUGGCAUAACUGUCUGUUUGUGUAUCACUGCUAUGAACUAUUAUUAGUUUAAAUAAAUGAAAAUAUGUUCCAAUUCACGCA